ACAGCAGCAGCCACGGGAAUACGGAGGAUCCAAGCGUUAUCCGGAAUCAUUGGGUUUAAAGGGUCCGUAGGCGGUCUUGUAAGUCAGUGGUGAAAGCCCAUCGCUCAACGGUGGAACGGCCAUUGAUACUGCAGGACUUGAAUUAUUGGGAAGUAACUAGAAUAUGUAGUGUAGCGGUGAAAUGCUUAGAGAUUACAUGGAAUACCAAUUGCGAAGGCAGGUUACUACCAAUUGAUUGACGCUGAUGGACGAAAGCGUGGGUAGCGAACAGGAUUAGAUACCCCCGUAGUCCCUGUCUCUUAUAC
rnacentral:rRNA from 1 species